GGAAUAUAGCUCAAUUGGUAGAGUGCUUGCCUCGCAUGCAUGCAUAAGACCCUGGGUUUAAUCCCCAACACCA
rnacentral:tRNA from 1 species